rnacentral:rRNA from 1 species
CCCUUAGAUGUCCUGGGCCGCACGCGCGUUACACUGAUGCAUUCAACGAGGUUAUAACCUUGGCCGAGAGGCCUGGGCAAUCUUGUUAACGUGCAUCGUGAUAGGGAUAGAUUAUUGAAAUUAUUAAUCUUGAACGAGGAAUUCCUAGUAAACGCAGAUCAUCAAUCUGCAUUGAUUACGUCCCUGCCCUUUGUACACACCGCCCGUCGCACCUACCGAUUGGAUGGUCCGGUGAAGCCUCGGGAUUGUGGUUCUUGCCGCUUUAUUGUGGCGUGACCGCGAGAACUUGUCUAAACCUUAUCAUCUAGAGGAAGGUGAAGUCGUAACA